rnacentral:rRNA from 1 species
UACGAAGGGGCUAGCGUUUGUUCGGAAUUACUGGGCGUAAAGCGCACGUAGGCGGACUAUUAAGUCAGGGUGAAAUCCCGGGCUCAACCCCGGAACUGCCUUUGAUACUGGUAGUCUCGAGUCCGGAAGAGGUGAGUGGAAUUCCGAGUGUAGAGGUGAAAUUCGUAGAUAUUUCGGAAGGAACACCAGUGGCGAAGGCGGCUCACUGGUCCGGUACUGACGCUGAGUGCGAAAGCGUG